AACCAUAAACCAUGCCUGCCAGCGAUCCGCCGGCGUUCCUCCGAUGACCCGGCGGGCAGCUUCCGGGAAACCAGAGCUUUUGGGUUCCGGGGGAAGUAUGGUUGCAAAGCUGAAACUUAAAGGAAUUGACGGAAGGGCACCACCAGGAGUGGAGCCUGCGGCUUAAUUUGACUCAACACGGGAAAACUCACCAGGCCCGGACACCGGAAGGAUUGACAGAUUGAGAGCUCUUUCUUGAUUCGGUGGGUGGUGGUGCAUGGCCGUUCUUAGUUGGUGGAGCGAUUUGUCUGGUUAAUUCCGAUAACGAACGAGACUCUAUCCUAUUAAAUAGACGCAUCCGGUAUCCGCAAUCGUGCUACCGGCGAAUAAAUUUCUUCUUAGAGGUACGGGCGGCUGCUAGCCGCACGAUACUGGGCAAUAACAGGUCUGUGAUGCCCUUAGAUGUCCUGGGCCGCACGCGCGCUACACUGAAGGAAUCAGCGUGUCUUCCCUGUCCGUGAGGACCGGGUAACCCGCUGAACCUCCUUCGUGAUAGGGAUUGGGGCUUGAAACUGUUCCCCAUGAACGAGGAAUUCCCAGUAAGCGCGAGUCAUAAGCUCGCGUUGAUUACGUCCCUGCCCUUUGUACACACCGCCCGUCGCUACUACCGAUUGAAUGAUUUAGUGAGGUCUUCGGACUGGCGCGCGGAGUCGGCAUCGUCGCCUCCGAUGUCGUCGGAAAGAUGACCAAACUUGAUCAUUUAGAGGAAGUAAAAGUCGUAACAAGGUUUCCGAG
rnacentral:rRNA from 1 species